CGCAAUCGACACGGCGAUUAAUGUAUCGAUUAAUAUAUUAUGUAAACACAUUUAUCUGGUCUGUAAAUAAAUAAUAUAAAUAUUGUAUAUCGUAGUGCGCGUGUAUGUGUGUGUGUGUGUGUGUGUGUGUGUGUGUGUGUGUAUGUGUGCGU